UACAGAGGGGGCAAGCGUUGUUCGGAAUUACUGGGCGUAAAGGGCGCGUAGGCGGCCUUCUAAGUCGAACGUGAAAUCCCUGGGCUCAACCCAGGAACUGCGUCCGAGACUGGAAGGCUUGAAUCCGGGAGAGGGAUGUGGAAUUCCAGGUGUAGCGGUGAAAUGCGUAGAUAUCAGGAGGAACACCGAUGGCGAAGGCAGCUCGCUGGGACGGUACUGACGCUGAGGCGCGAAAGCGUGGGGAGCAAACAGG
rnacentral:rRNA from 1 species